AUGGGGGUANNNNNNNNNNNNNNNNNNNNNNNNUGUGUAUUGGGGGUACAGUGUGGUCUCGGCCCAGGAGCAGUGUGUAUUGGGGGUACAGUGUGUAUUGGGGGUACAGUGUGUAUUGGGGGUACAGUGUGUAUUGGGGGUACAGUGUGUUCUGUUCUGUUACAUUGUACAUUUUAUAAGUACUGACAAACAUGUACAGCUUUUUUUUACUGGUUAAAAUGAGAUGUUCUCUUCUCUCAUGUUGCUGCGUUCUCUGCUGACUCCUAUCUGUGUUCUACAGUCAGGUCUUUUCCAGAACUACACGACAAUCAAAAGAACAUACGACAGAAAUUCACAUUAGGGACCUGAAUGAUGACCGACGUCUUCUCGCUUCACAAAGCUGGGAAUCAACAACCCUCUUUCGUCUUUUAAGAUCUGGUUUACCCCCUUGAAGAUAUUUCCCCCCAUUUGUAUUCAAAAAAAAGAAUGACGAAGCAACAAUUGUACAUUUUAAUACUUGUAGGAUACAACUGUCAAACAAAAUAGACAAACGUCAAGGUUUAGCUACACCUUGAGGGACUCUCGCUUGUUAAAGUAUAGAAUAGUAUUGCCAAGGUGAAGGAUCUAAAUAUCCGUUUAGCAAGUACCUCAUGGAACAAGUAUUGUGUUUAAUUUCAACACAACUUAAAGUGAUAAGAACACUAAUACACAUGCAUACAAUUUUUUUUUAAAGUGACAAAAUACUACAUUUACAUGGUAAGGAAGAGGUUAUCAUAAAGUAGAAGUUGCUAUAACAGGUKUGUCUCUUGUAGCCUAUACACGGGCGUUCUCUCAAUCUUCAGGUACAGUCUGAAGUUUAAAUACACUUAGGUUGGAGUCAUUAAAACUCCUUUUUCAAACACUCAUUUUAACAAACUAUAGUUUUGGCAAGUCGGUUAGGACAUCUACUUUGUACAUGACAAGUAAUUUUUCCAACAAUUGUUUACAGACAGAUUUUUUCACCUUGAUUCACUGUAUCACAAUUUCAGUGGGUUUACAGUUUACACACACUAAGAUGACUGUGCCUUUAAAUAGCUUGGAAAAUUCCAGAAAAUGAUGUCAUGGCUUUAGAAGCUUCUGAUAGGCUAAUCGACAUAAUUUGAGUCAAUUGGAGGUGUACCUGUGGAUGUAUUUCAAGGUCUACCUUCAAACUCGGUGCCUCUUUGCUUGACAUCAUGGGAAAAUCAAAAGAAAUCAGCCAAGACCACAGAGAGAAAAUUAUAGACCUCCACAAGUCUGGUUCAUCCUUGGGAGAAAUUUCCAAAUGCUUGAAGGUACCACGUUAAUCUGUACAGACAAUAGUACGCAAGUAUAAACACCAUGGGACCAAGCAGCCGUCAUACCGCUCAGGAAGGAGGAAGAAAAUGUGUUCUGUCUCCGAGUACAAAAUAAUCUAUAUCCACAGUAAAACGAGUCCUAUAUCGACAUAACCUGAAAGGCCGCUCAGCAAGGAAGAAGCCACUGCUCCAAAACCGCCAUAAAAAAAGCCAGGCUACGUUUUGCAACUGCACAUGGGACAAAGAUCGUACUGUUUGGAGAAAUGUCCUCUGGUCUGAUGAAACAAAAAUAGAACUGUUUGGCCAUAAUUACCAUCGUUAUGUUUGGUGGAAAAAGGAGUCUUGCAAGCUGAAGAACACCAUCCCAACCGUGAAGCGCGGGGGUGGCAGCAUCAUGUUGUGGGGGUGCUUUGCUGCAGGAGGGACUGGUGCACUUCACAAAAUAGUUGGC
ensembl:lncRNA